rnacentral:rRNA from 1 species
ACUCCUACGGGAGGCAGCAGUGGGGAAUAUUGCACAAUGGGCGCAAGCCUGAUGCAGCCAUGCCGCGUGUAUGAAGAAGGCCUUCGGGUUGUAAAGUACUUUCAGCAGUGAGGAAGGUGGAUAUGUUAAUAGCAUAUUCAUUUGACGUUAGCUGCAGAAGAAGCACCGGCUAACUCCGUGCCAGCAGCCGCGGUAAUACGGAGGGUGCGAGCGUUAAUCGGAAUUACUGGGCGUAAAGCGCAUGCAGGUGGUUUGUUAAGUCAGAUGUGAAAGCCCGGGGCUCAACCUCGGAAUUGCAUUUGAAACUGGCAAACUAGAGUACUGUAGAGGGGGGUAGAAUUUCAGGUGUAGCGGUGAAAUGCGUAGAGAUCUGAAGGAAUACCGGUGGCGAAGGCGGCCCCCUGGACAGAUACUGACACUCAGAUGCGAAAGCGUGGGGAGCAAACAGGAUUAGAUACCCUGGUAGACGUAG